rnacentral:rRNA from 1 species
GUUGUAUAGUCAAGUAAUUAAGUGCAUGUGGUGGAUGCCUUGGCAGUCAGAGGCGAUGAAAGACGUGAUAGCCUGCGAAAAGCUCCGGGGAGGCGGCAAAUAUCCUUUGAUCCGGAGAUGUCUGAAUGGGGGAACCCACCUACUUUAAGGUAGGUAUUGCAACAUGAAUACAUAGUGUUGCAAGGCGAACGAGGGGAAGUGAAACAUCUCAGUACCCUUAGGAAAAGAAAUCAAUUGAGAUUCCCUCAGUAGCGGCGAGCGAACGGGGGUCAGCCCAUUAAGUUAUGUGUGUUUUAGUGGAACGCUCUGGGAAGUGCGAACGUAGAGGGUGAUAUUCCCGUACACGAAAGGGCACACAUAAUGAUGACGAGUAGGGCGAGGCACGUGAAACCUUGUCUGAAUAUGGGGGGACCAUCCUCCAAGGCUAAAUACUCCUGACUGACCGAUAGUGAACCAGUACCGUGAGGGAAAGGCGAAAAGAACCCCUGUGAGGGGAGUGAAAUAGAUCCUGAAACCGCAUGCAUACAAGCAGUGGGAGCACCUUCGUGGUGUGACUGCGUACCUUUUGUAUAAUGGGUCAGCGACUUAUAUUCAGUAGCAAGGUUAACCGUAUAGGGGAGCCGUAGAGAAAUCGAGUCUUAAUAGGGCGUUUAGUUGCUGGGUAUAGACCCGAAACCAGGCGAUCUAUCCAUGAGCAGGUUGAAGGUUGGGUAACACUAACUGGAGGACCGAACCCACUGUCGUU